UUUCAACCACCUGUGAACUUUUGAUAGAUCUGUGAAGUCGUCCUUCAAGUCGUCAGACUUGGUUUGCUGGGAUUUAAACGUCUCGGUGUGACAACGCAGUCUAUUUACUUAACACACCCCAAAUGUAUGUCUACGAAUGUCAUUUAAUGGGCCUUGUGCCUAUAAACCAUAAUACAACUUUCAACAACGGAUCUCUUGGCUCUCGCAUCGAUGAAGAACGCAGCGAAAUGCGAUAAGUAAUGUGAAUUGCAGAAUUCAGUGAAUCAUCGAAUCUUUGAACGCACCUUGCGCCCCUUGGUAUUCCGAGGGGCAUGCCUGUUUGAGUGUCAUUAAAUUCUCAAACUCACAUUUAUUUGUGAUGUUUGGAUUGUUGGGGGUUGCUGGCUGUAACAAGUCGGCUCCUCUUAAAUGCAUUAGCAGGACUUCUCAUUGCCUCUGCGCAUGAUGUGAUAAUUAUCACUCAUCAAUAGCACGCAUGAAUAGAGUCCAGCUCUCUAAUCGUCCGCAAGGACAAUUUGACAAUUUGACCUCAAAUCAGGUAGGACUACCCGCUGAACUUAAGCAUAUCAAAAGCCCGGAGGAAAGGAUCAUUAAUGAAUUCACUAUGGAGUUGUUGCUGGCCUCUAGGGGCAUGUGCACGCUUCACUAGUCUUUCAACCACCUGUGAACUUUUGAUAGAUCUGUGAAGUCGUCCUUCAAGUCGUCAGACUUGGUUUGCUGGGAUUUAAACGUCUCGGUGUGACAACGCAGUCUAUUUACUUAACACACCCAAAUGUAUGUCUACGAAUGUCAUUUAAUGGGGCUUGUGCUAUAAACAUAAUACACUUUCAACAACGGAUCUCUUUGGCUCUUGCAUCGAUGAAGAACGCANCGAAAUGCGAUAAGUAA
rnacentral:rRNA from 1 species